GGCCGCGUGGGAUGUCUGCGUAGAUGGCUAGAUUAGAUGCAGUAUUCUUCAAUUUUUUUAACAUAAAAAUAUAUAUUAUGUAUCAAUGUAUGUCGUGGCCUGUGGGUUCUCCCCAAAACACAUUUGUGCGCUAGGGGAUGCAAUUGUCUUCAGACUUGCAAAUAAGCCAUUCAGCCGAAUCUGCCGACUUUAAGUGGACAACGCUCGGACUUAUCAGCCGAAUCUGCCAGUCAUUCAGCAAUAUUUUUCUCUCACAAUAAAUCAGCCAAGAGUACUUUCUGUCAUGGCUUCUCAGCCAAACAAACAAGUUAGCC
rnacentral:lncRNA from 1 species